rnacentral:rRNA from 1 species
ACUCCUACGGGAGGCAGCAGUAGGGAAUCUUCCACAAUGGACGCAAGUCUGAUGGAGCAACGCCGCGUGAGUGAAGAAGGGUUUCGGCUCGUAAAGCUCUGUUGUUAAAGAAGAACGUGGGUGAGAGUAACUGUCACCCAGUGACGGUAUUUAACCAGAAAGCCACGGCUAACUACGUGCCAGCAGCCGCGGUAAUACGUAGGUGGCAAGCGUUAUCCGGAUUUAUUGGGCGUAAAGCGAGCGCAGGCGGUCUUUUAAGUCUAAUGUGAAAGCCUUCGGCUCAACCGAAGAAGUGCAUUGGAAACUGGGAGACUUGAGUGCAGAAGAGGACAGUGGAACUCCAUGUGUAGCGGUGAAAUGCGUAGAUAUAUGGAAGAACACCAGUGGCGAAGGCGGCUGUCUGGUCUGUAACUGACGCUGAGGCUCGAAAGCAUGGGUAGCGAACAGGAUUAGAUACCCCUGGUAGGAUAGCG